rnacentral:rRNA from 1 species
AGAGUUUGAUCAUGGCUCAGAUUGAACGCUGGCGGCGUGGCUAAAGCAUGCAAGUCGUACGCACCCGCAAGGGUGAGUGGCGGACGGGUUAGUAAUACGAUCGAACGUACCUCGAGGUGGGGGAUAGCGGCGGGAAACUGCCGGUAAUACCCCAUGAUCUCUCCGGAGCAAAGGGUAACCGCCUUGAGAUCGGCGAUCGUCCUAUCAGCUAGUUGGCGGGGUAACGGCCCACCAAGGCGAUGACGGGUAGCAGGUGUGAGAGCACGACCUGCAACAUCGGGACUGAGACACUGCCCGGACUCCUACGGGAGGCUGCAGCGACGAAUCUUCCGCAAUGGGCGCAAGCCUGACGGAGCGACGCCGCGUGUGGGAUGAAGCGCCUCUGGCGUGUAAACCACUGUCAGGGAACAGAAACAAUGAUCGUUUCCAGAGGAAGGGGCGACUAACUCUGUGCCAGCAGUCGCGGUAAGACAGAGGCCCCGAGCGUUAAUCGGAAUCACUGGGCUUAAAGGGUGCGUAGGCCGGCCCGCAAGUGCUUUGUGAAAUCCCAUGGCUCAACCAUGGAACAGCAGGGCAUACUGCGGGUCUUGAGGAAGGUAGGGGUUGCCGGAACUGUAGGUGGAGCGGUGAAAUGCGUAGAUAUCUACAGGAACGCCGAUGGUGAAGACGGGCAACUGGGCCUUUCCUGACGCUGAGGCACGAAAGCGUGGGGAGCAAACAGGAUUAGAUACCCUAGUAGUCC